rnacentral:lncRNA from 1 species
UCUUGCGUGGGCCUGCCAGCUGGUGGCUGUGUCCCCUUCUCCGAGGACCUCCCGUAAGUGACAGCAGGCAGUGGCCACUGGGAAUGCCAUGCUCCCUGCCCCUUGCGUGGGCCCCAGCUUUGCACUGCUCCUUACACUCAUCCUUCCCCCCCGCCCCGCCUCUCUGAUAGCCUAGGUCCCCUCCUCAUGGGGACACUGGGGACAGUGGCUGACAUAUCCCCUCUGUGUACCUUCCAUGUCCACCCAUGUGGCCAGGUCAGGCUUCGAGCAGGAUGUGGACGGAGCCCCUGGGCUUGCAGGAGCCUGCCAAGACAUGCCAGCCACAGGGGACAGCAAUGGUGACGAG